rnacentral:antisense_RNA from 1 species
CGUAUAAAAUGUUUACAGGCGCUGUUACGCUAGAGACUAAUGAGUUUCCGAGAUUUAAAUUUUUAGGAAAUAUAUUUGAAAAAUCACCAAAAAUUGUAUGAUUCAACUUAUUGGAGAAUGGUGGGCCCGGCAGGACUUGAACCUGCGACCACUCCG